CUGAGAUCCCCAUAGCGAUAUGCACUCAGCCCAUGAUUAUAGUAGGGCCUAAAUGUUAAAGGAGGCGAACAAAGCACAACUAGGGUGCAGUUACCGAGAGUCCUGAAGCCACAGUCUGGGCUCAGCCUAAACCCCUUAAAAACACCUCACAGGUGUUUGAGCUUGCAACACAAUUGGAUAUACCAUUUGUAGUGUUAUAAACCCCUUAAAAAGCCCAGGUCCGUAGGGGAGUUUAGGCCCGCUGAUCAAGCUUGCAUUCUGUGCAGGAAAUAUGUAAUGUGUUUGUAGUGAGUGCAGAGUGUGUAUAAUGAAUGAAGUGUGUUUGUAGUGAGUGCAAAGUGUGUAUGAGUGCAAUGUGAUUGUAUAGUGAAUGUAGUGUGUUUGUAGUGAGUGCACGGUGUAUAAUAAAUGUACUGUGUAGUGAGUGCAGAGUGUGUAUAAUUAAUGUAGUGUGUUUGUAGUAAGUGCAGUGUGUGUAUGAGUGCAGUGUGUGUAUGAGUGCAGUGUGAUUGUAGUGAGUGCAGUGUGUAUAAUUAAUGAAGUGUGUUUGUAAGUGCAGUGUGUGUAUAGUGAAUGUAGUGAGUGCAGUGUGUAUAAUGAAUGUAGUGUUAUUGUAGUGAGUGCAUAAUGUGUAUAGUGAAUGUAG